rnacentral:rRNA from 1 species
UACGUAGGGGGCAAGCGUUGUCCGGAUUUAUUGGGCGUAAAGAGCGUGUAGGCGGCUAGAUAGGUCCGUUGUGAAAACUCGAGGCUUAACCUCGAGACGUCGAUGGAAACCGUAUGGCUAGAGUCCGGAAGAGGAGAGUGGAAUUCCUGGUGUAGCGGUGAAAUGCGCAGAUAUCAGGAGGAACACCAGUGGCGAAGGCGGUGCUCUGGGCCGGAACUGACGCUGAGGAGCGAAAGCGUGGGGAGCAAACAGG